rnacentral:rRNA from 1 species
UUGCGCAGUAUAGGUGGGAGGCAAAGAUUAUAUAUUUGCGGAUGUAUAUGAGCCGCUAGUGAGAUACCACUCUAAUUAAACUAGAAUUCUAAUAUUGAUUGCCAUAAGCUGGCCAAUAAACAGUUUCAGGUGGGCAGUUUGACUGGGGCGGUCGCCUCCUAAAAGGUAACGGAGGCGUGCAAAGGUUUCCUCAGGCUGGUCGGAAAUCAGUCGUAGAGUGUAAAGGCAUAAGGAAGCUUGACUGCGAGACCUACAAGUCGAGCAGAGACGAAAGUCGGCCUUAGUGAUCCGACAGU